rnacentral:lncRNA from 1 species
GGGGUGUUGCCAAGUUCUUUCAGCUUAAUAAAAACCCUAAUUGAGGAGUCUCUAGCUGCUUGCUCACACCUGCUUUUACUCUAACCUGGACAACUCACAGUCAAGACCUUCCGUCCGGUAACAAAGCAACAGACCUCAGUCAUGUCAUCUGCUUACAAAGGAGCCACGAAUCAAGACCGAUUCCGUGUGCUCUUGACGAUUCUGUUACACUCCUGCAGGUACAGUUUCCUUCCUCUGGGACAUGUGAUGGCUCCGUGUAAAGGGGAUGGGAGGGACUAUUUUCUUACCAUGAGGUUUACAGGUUUCCAUUCCUGUGUUGUUUACAGGUUUCCAUUCCUGUGUUAUGUUCAGAGAAUGCACUGUAUUUGCAUUUGAAAUGUGCCUACUUUGACAGUUCCUAGCAAUUGGUCAGUAGGAGGCUGGAGCUUGAAAAAUGCGUAGGAGGAAGGUGAAAUAGAAUGGGAUGGCUGCAAAGAGGAAGAGGGAGUGGGAAUCCCAAGCAAUUUUCAGUUUUGCUACCACUAAGAUUCUUUUUUUGUUUGUUUGUUUUUUGUUUUUUGAGACGAAGUCUUGCUCUUGUCC